rnacentral:snoRNA from 1 species
AUGGCAUGCUGAGGACAAUCUUCACAAAACUUCUUGAAUCUUUCCCGAGCUUGGUAAAAAUUCUCAUCUUUGUGUUGUCGAAAGUGUGUUAUCCUUUAUCUCCCUUU